CAAUAGCGUAUAUUAAAGUUGUUGCAGUUAAAAAGCUCGUAGUUGAAUUUCUGGUGGGCGCGCCGGUCUUCCAAGUGUUGUACUGGGCGCAGUCCGCCAUCCUUGUGGAGAGGGCUCGCAUUGAGUUGCGUGUCGGAUCUGCAUCAUUUACUGUGAAAAAAUUAGAGUGUUUAAAGCAGGCUGUCGCUUGAAUACAUUAGCAUGGAAUAAUAAGAUAGGACUUCGGUCUAUUUUGUUGGUUGCGAACCGAGGUAAUGAUUAAUAGGGAUAGUUGGGGGUAUUCAUAUUUAAUUGUCAGAGGUGAAAUUCCUGGAUUUAUGAAAGAUGAACAACUGCGAAAGCAUUUACCAAGGAUGUUUUCAUUAA
rnacentral:rRNA from 1 species